UGGGGAAUCUUGGACAAUGGGGGCAACCCUGAUCCAGCCAUGCCGCGUGAGUGAUGAAGGCCUUAGGGUCGUAAAGCUCUUUCGCCUGUGAAGAUAAUGACGGUAGCAGGUAAAGAAACCCCGGCUAACUCCGUGCCAGCAGCCGCGGUAAUACGGAGGGGGUUAGCGUUGUUCGGAAUUACUGGGCGUAAAGCGCACGUAGGCGGAUCGGAAAGUUGGGGGAUGAAAUCCCGGGGGCUCAACCCCGGAACUGCCUUUGAUACUGGUAGUCUUGAGUUCGAGAGAGGUGAGUGGAAUUCCGAGUGUAGAGGUGAAAUUCGUAGAUAUUCGGAGGAACACCAGUGGCGAAGGCGGCUCACUGGCUCGAUACUGACGCUGAGGUGCGAAAGCGUGGGGAGCAAACAGGAUUAGAUA
rnacentral:rRNA from 1 species